UACGUAGGGUGCAAGCGUUAAUCGGAAUUACUGGGCGUAAAGCGUGCGCAGGCGGUUGUGUAAGACAGAUGUGAAAUCCCCGGGCUCAACCUGGGAACUGCAUUUGUGACUGCAUCGCUGGAGUGCGGCAGAGGGGGAUGGAAUUCCGCGUGUAGCAGUGAAAUGCGUAGAUAUGCGGAGGAACACCGAUGGCGAAGGCAAUCCCCUGGGCCUGCACUGACGCUCAUGCACGAAAGCGUGGGAGCAAACAGG
rnacentral:rRNA from 1 species